CGAGGCCGAUAGGCGUAGGCGAUGGACAACAGGUAGAGAUUCCUGUACCAGUGCUAAUUGUUUAACCGAUGGGGUGACACAGAAGGAUAGGGAAUCGCACGAAUGGAAAUGUGCGUCCAAGCAGUGAGUGUGAGAAGUAGGCAAAUCCGCUUCUCGCGAAGCAUGAGCUGUGAUGGGGAAGGAAAUUAAGUACGGAAGUUCCUGAUUUCACGCUGUCAAGAAAAGCCUCUAGGAAGAGUAGUACUGCCCGUACCGCAAACCGACACAGGUAGAUGAGGAGAGAAUCCUAAGGUGAGCGAGAGAACUCUCGUUAAGGAACUCGGCAAAAUGACCCCGUAACUUCGGGAGAAGGGGUGCUCUAUUAGGGUGCAAGCCCGAGAGAGCCGCAGUGAAUAGGCCCAGGCGACUGUUUAGCAAAAACACAGGUCUCUGCAAAACCGUAAGGUGACGUAUAGGGGCUGACGCCUGCCCGGUGCUGGAAGGUUAAGAGGAGUGCUUAGCUUCGGCGAAGGUACGAAUUGAAGCCCCAGUAAACGGCGGCCGUAACUAUAACGGUCCUAAGGUAGCGAAAUUCCUUGUCGGGUAAGUUCCGACCCGCACGAAAGGCGCAACGAUCUGGGCACUGUCUCAACGAGAGACUCGGUGAAAUUAUAGUACCUGUGAAGAUGCAGGUUACCCGCGACAGGACGGAAAGACCCCGUGGAGCUUUACUGCAACCUGAUAUGGAAUGUUUGUACCGCUUGUACAGGAUAGGU
rnacentral:rRNA from 1 species